rnacentral:rRNA from 1 species
CCAAUAGCGUAUAUUAAAGUUGUUGCAGUUAAAAAGCUCGUAGUUGAAUUUCGGGGUCAAUAAGUUGGUCGUGCCAAUGGUAUGUACUGGCUUUAUUGAUUCCUACCUCUUGACGAACUGUGAUGCCAUUAAUUUGGUGUUGCAGGAAAUCAGGACUGUUACCUUGAAAAAAUUAGAGUGUUUAAAGCAGGCUUACGCUUGAAUACAUUAGCAUGGAAUAAUGAAAUAGGACGUUUGAACCUAUUUUGUUGGUUUCUAGGAUCGACGUAAUGAUUAAUAGGGAUAGUUGGGGGCAUUAGUAUUCAAUUGUCAGAGGUGAAAUUCUUGGAUUUAUUGAAGACUAACUACUGCGAAAGCAUUUGCCAAGGAUGUUUUCAUUAAUCAAGAACGAAAGUUAGGGGAUCGAAGACGAUCAGAUACCGUCGUAGUCUUAACCAUAAACUAUGCCGACUAGGGAUCGGAUGAUGUUAAUUUUUUAAUGACUCAUUCGGCGCCUUACG